GCAUAUCCAUAAGCGGAGGAAAAGAAACUAACAAGGAUUCCCCUAGUAGCGGCGAGCGAAGCGGGAAGAGCUCAAAUUUAUAAUCUGGCACCUUCGGUGUCCGAGUUGUAAUCUCUAGAAAUGUUUUCCGCGCUGGACCGCACACAAGUCUGUUGGAAUACAGCGGCAUAGUGGUGAGACCCCCGUAUAUGGUGCGGACGCCCAGCGCUUUGUGAUACAUUUUCGAAGAGUCGAGUUGUUUGGGAAUGCAGCUCAAAUUGGGUGGUAAAUUCCAUCUAAAGCUAAAUAUUGGCGAGAGACCGAUAGCGAACAAGUACCGUGAGGGAAAGAUGAAAAGCACUUUGGAAAGAGAGUUAACAGUACGUGAAAUUGUUGGAAGGGAAACGCUUGAAGUCAGACUUGCUUGCCGAGCAAUCGGUUUGCAGGCCAGCAUCAGUUUUCCGGGAUGGAUAAUGGUAGAGAGAAGGUAGCAGUUUCGGCUGUGUUAUAGCUCUCUGCUGGAUACAUCUUGGGGGACUGAGGAACGCAGUGUGCCUUUGGCGGGGGUUUCGACCUCUUCACACUUAGGAUGCUGGUGGAAUGGCUUUAAACGACCCGUCUUGAA
rnacentral:rRNA from 1 species